GAUGAACGCUGGCGGCGUGCCUAAUACAUGCAAGUCGAGCGAACGGACGAGAAGCUUGCUCCUCUGACGUUAGCGGCGGACGGGUGAGUAACACGUGGAUAACCUACCUAUAAGACUGGGAUAACUUCGGGAAACCGGAGCUAAUACCGGAUAAUAUUUUGAACCGCAUGGUUCAAAAGUGAAAGACGGUCUUGCUGUCACUUAUAGAUGGAUCCGCGCUGCAUUAGCUAGUUGGUAAGGUAACGGCUUACCAAGGCAACGAUGCAUAGCCGACCUGAGAGGGUGAUCGGCCACACUGGAACUGAGACACGGUCCAGACUCCUACGGGAGGCAGCAGUAGGGAAUCUUCCGCAAUGGGCGAAAGCCUGACGGAGCAACGCCGCGUGAGUGAUGAAGGUCUUCGGAUCGUAAAACUCUGUUAUUAGGGAAGAACAUAUGUGUAAGUAACUAUGCACGUCUUGACGGUACCUAAUCAGAAAGCCACGGCUAACUACGUG
rnacentral:rRNA from 1 species